rnacentral:rRNA from 1 species
UACGAAGGGGGCUAGAGUUGUUCGGAAUUACUGGGCGUAAAGCGCGCGCAGGCGGCUAUCCAAGUCAGUGGUGAAAGCCCGGAGCUCAACUCCGGAACUGCCAUUGAAACUGUUUAGCUUGAGGAUGAGAGAGGUGAGUGGAAUUCCCAGUGUAGAGGUGAAAUUCGUAGAUAUUGGGAAGAACACCGGUGGCGAAGGCGGCUCACUGGCUCAUUACUGACGCUCAGGCGCGAUAGCGUGGGGAUCAAACAGG